CCUGGCUCAGGAUGAACGCUAGCUACAGGCUUAACACAUGCAAGUCGAGGGGCAGCAUGGUCUUAGCUUGCUAAGACUGAUGGCGACCGGCGCACGGGUGAGUAACACGUAUCCAACCUGCCGUCUACUCUUGGACAGCCUUCUGAAAGGAAGAUUAAUACAAGAUGGCAUCAUGAGUCCGCAUGUUCACAUGAUUAAAGGUAUUCCGGUAGACGAUGGGGAUGCGUUCCAUUAGAUAGUAGGCGGGGUAACGGCCCACCUAGUCUUCGAUGGAUAGKGGUUMUGAGAGGAAGSUCCCCCCACAUUGGAASUGAGACACGGUCCAAACUCCUACGGGAGGCAGCAGUGAGGAAUAUUGGUCAAUGGGCGAGAGCMUGAACCAGCCAAGUAGCGUGAAGGAUGACUGCCCUAUGGGUUGUAAACUUCUUUUAUAAAGGAAUAAAGUCGGGUAUGGAUACCCGUUUGCAUGUACUUUAUGAAUAAGGAUCGGCUAACUCCGUGCCAGCAGCCGCGGUAAUACGGAGGAUCCGAGCGUUAUCCGGAUUUAUUGGGUUUAAAGGGAGCGUAGAUGGAUGUUUAAGUCAGUUGUGAAAGUUUGCGGCUCAACCGUAAAAUUGCAGUUGAUACUGGAUAUCUUGAGUGCAGUUGAGGCAGGCGGAAUUCGUGGUGUAGCGGUGAAAUGCUUAGAUAUCACGAAGAACUCCGAUUGCGAAGGCAGCCUGCUAAGCUGCAACUGACAUUGAGGCUCGAAAGUGUGGGUAUCAAACAGGAUUAGAUACCCUGGUAGUCCACACGGUAAACGAUGAAUACUCGCUGUUUGCGAUAUACGGCAAGCGGCCAAGCGAAAGCGUUAAGUAUUCCACCUGGGGAGUACGCCGGCAACGGUGAAACUCAAAUGAAUUGAC
rnacentral:rRNA from 1 species